rnacentral:tRNA from 1 species
GCACUGGUGGUUCAGUGGUAGGAUCCUCACCUUCCAUGUGGGAGACCUGAGUUCAAUCCCUGGCCAACGCA